rnacentral:rRNA from 1 species
GUACACACCGCCCGUCACACCAUGGGAGUGGGUUGCAAAAGAAGUAGGUAGCUUAACCUCCGGGAGGGCGCUUACCACUUUGUGAUUCAUGACUGGGGUGAAGUCGUAACAAGGUAACCGUAGGGGAACCUGCGGUUGGAUCACCUCCUUACCUUAAAGAA